UACGGAGGGAGCUAGCGUUGUUCGGAAUUACUGGGCGUAAAGCGCGCGUAGGCGGCUUUGUAAGUUAGAGGUGAAAGCCCGGAGCUCAACUCCGGAACUGCCUUUAAAACUGCAUCGCUUGAAUCCAGGAGAGGUGAGUGGAAUUCCGAGUGUAGAGGUGAAAUUCGUAGAUAUUCGCAGGAACACCAGUGGCGAAGGCGGCUCACUGGUCCGAUACUGACGCUGAGGUGCGAAAGCGUGGGGAGCAAACAGG
rnacentral:rRNA from 1 species